rnacentral:rRNA from 1 species
AGCAGCCGCGGUAAUUCCAGCUCCAAUAGCGUAUAUUAAAGUUGUUGCAGUUAAAAAGCUCGUAGUUGAAUUUCGGGAUUGACACAUCGGUCGUGCCUUAAGGGGUAUGAACUGGUGUAGUCAAUUUCUCACCUUCUGGAGAACCGGAAUGCCCUUAAUUGGGUGUCGCGGGGAACCAGGACCUUUACUUUGAAAAAAUUAGAGUGUUUAAAGCAGGCAUUUUGCUUGAAUACAUUAGCAUGGAAUAAUAAAAUAGGACGGCAUGAUUCUAUUUUGUUGGUUUCUAGGAUCACCGUAAUGAUUAAUAGGGAUAGUUGGGGGUAUUAGUAUUCAAUUGUCAGAGGUGAAAUUCUUGGAUUUAUUGAAGACUAACUACUGCGAAAGCAUUUGCCAAGGAUGUUUUCAUUAAUCAAGAACGAAAGUUAGGGGAUCGAAGACGAUCAGAUACCGUCGUAGUCUUAACCAUAAACUAUGCCGACUAGGAAUCAGACGAUGUUAAUUUUUUAAUGACUCGUUUGGCACCUUACGG